AAAGCAAGAGCGAGCCAAGCAUUCAAAGCAUGUGUAUGAGAUUGAUUUAGAAUCAACUUAAAGAUACUUAUAUUCCAUUACAUGAAAGCUUGAUGCUUGAAACAAAAUAUUCAGAUCACUUGGUGAUAGCAUACAUUGGCUUUAAAAGACGGAUUAUAUUAGCAUAGAUGAAUGGUGUAUAUAGUGCUUGCCCGUUAACCAUUGCUCGAGUCUUGUACCUGCCAUCGGCAGAAAGGAAAGAAGCUACGACCCAGGCGGAGGAACAACCUAGCCGCACACUACAGACAGGAUCAGAGGCCUAUAGAGGAACAAAAAGAAUCAAGCGACUGUGUAUAAAACAAUAAGAUGGUACACUUUAUUAAUUAUUUUUCUAGCUGUUUUUCCUUUAUCAACAAGCAGCACGUAUUAGUUGGGUAAGCAAUAACCAGGUGGUACACUUGAUAUUGGAACCCCCAUACAUUUAUUAUCUCUAUUCAUUCAAAGAACUAACCCGAGCAGGCAUUGCAAGACUAUUAAGAAUCCGUAUGAAACUAAGAAAAGUGGGCAUCCUCUAUAAACAUGGAUAUCGACCAAUGGCAUAUGAGCACACAAUCACCCAGGAAGAAAACCACCAGGACAAGCAUAAGUAAACAAGAACACAUUUUUUCUAACAAGAUAUGAAGGAAAACCCAUACAAAGCACGGCAAACAUAAUAGGUGAACCGUGAAACACAUAGACAUGCAACCUAGCCGCACCAAUGCAGGAGUUCAUGGCCUAUAUUAUCAAGAAGUAAUAAGCCAAGGCAAUCUGAGCAGAUCUAACCUUGUUGGUUAACAGCAUGGUCGAAUGAACCAACAAAGAACCUGCACAGGCAGAGAAACAUGCAACGCAAAAUGUUUCAGCUCACAGGCAUUUCAUCGAACAGGAGGCGGCAGGAAAGAUCUUACCAUAUCUUGCAAGAAUAAAAGGGAAAGAAACCCAUAUUAGCUUAUGAAAACCAAAUGUGGCCAAGACUGCCGCAUCCUCUGCUUAGGCGACAUCCAGCAAAGCAUAGUGCAGAACUGCAGAUUCAGAACAUGCAGAUCAUGUUAUGUUAAAUACCCGUAUAUAUGCGCAGAUAUAUCACUUCUAAAUUUCACCAGUAAGUCAUGACAACAGUUUGGCGUUAACAAUAGUGUAAAAAAUAGCAGGAAGCAUACUUAGGCGACAUCCAAUCACGUAAGAUUAGGUCACACUGUGAUUUAUUCGAGAAGGCUUAUUGUGAAUUGUAAGAAAAUGAAAUAAAAACCAGAUACCAAAUUGCUGCAGAUGCACUCAUGGUAUAAACUCUGAAACAUCAAAGUACUCAAUUGAUGAAAUUAGAAAAGCAAUACAGGCCCAUGGUAAGCAACUUCAAUUGUAAACUCAGUAGCAUCAUGAAAUUAGAAGUCUACUAUAGGAAUAGAGGCCCAUGGUAAGCAACUUCACACAAGGUAAUAGUCCAGUAGGUCAAUAUGAUUAAAUGGUUUAAUACACAAUUUUGUAUAUCCGAAUCAGAUGGUUAUCCCCUUCCUCAUAACGAAUGAAAACAAUAACAUAGAAAGUCAGAAAUAGAGUGAUUGCCAAGAUAUCGGUUGUUUGACCCCUGCUCCUCCCCUUGUGUUGGUUCUUUCUCUCAUUUAGGGCAUGCCCUUGCACCAUAUCAAACAACCUAAAAUUGAAUUCCACAUGAGCUUGUACAACAUAAUGACAAGAGAUGUGCAUUCUCCUUCCAGUUGCCUGCACAUUUGGAAACAACUAAACAAAUCAUCUGAUUAGAAAUUCCAAGCUGCUAGUCUACAUUAUGAAAUAAGCAUACAUAUAGUUAACUGACGACGCGUUUCUAAGAAAUGGACCCCCCUGCAAGUUGCUUGCGCGUUUGGAACAGAACAAAACAUCUAAUGAACAUUCUCAGCUGCUGGUCUGCACUACAGAAUAGGUAAAUAUCGACUUGGGCUAUACUCAGUUCAGUUUUUGGUCACAAAAAGCCAGAGUCGACUUGGGCUAUACUCACUUCAGUUUCUGGUCACAACAAGGUACGUGCUUUCAUUCAGUGCAUGGAAUAUAUUUAGAUGGCCUCAGAAGCUCUGCGCAAUCUAACACGAUGACCUUGUCAACUCGCUAAAUGAAAGGUUAAAAGUACCAAUGCAGGUGUUAAACUGCAGAAAGAAUGCACCAAUCUCCAAAAUAGUGAAAGGACUCUCAUUAUAAGGCAAAAAUGGUCAAACUGUUAUUGUAACACCUAAGUAUUGCAGGCAGAGUUAUAAGAGGGGUCAUGAGUUGCUUUGGAAGCACGGGAAUGGCUAAAUAACCUGCAAAAUCUGUAACAGACGCAAAACAAUAUAACUCUCAGAAGAAAUUUUGCUCUUGUCCAUGCGAUAAAUUUAAAUGUAAAACAUUUACAGUAAAGUCGACAGAAAUGAGCAGGAAUUUAAAAUCUUUUAUAAAAACUAUACAGAACAAAGCAAAUCCCCAGUUCAGUUCUACUCAAAGACAAAGAUGAUGAUACAGAUUCUAAGCUAGCUGGCACAUCUACACAAAGAACCAACAUGACAAAUGCAAGUAAACCGGAGAUAAAUCUUCGGCUAAGAUUGAAGAAAGAAAAUAUGAUGAGCUCACCUUUGAUCUGCAUAGCACAUCCAGGAAUAACCAAUUUCUUCCUUAAUCGUGUGAGUGCCCAGGACAAAACAAUCUUCUAGUUCAUUGGUGAGCAACCCUUAUGAAGCUCCUACAAAGAGAAAAUUUAGAAUUUUAACCCAGAGCACAUAGUCGCAGUGAUUAAGCAAACUGGAACACUCUCAAAUGCUUAGCAAGCUCUACUUCCAAGAACCAUAUACAAAAUCAAUGAAUAGAAGGCUGAGUGAACUAAACAGACUUUGGUUAAAGCUGUCACACUACAAUUAGAAAAGCAUAUCCAUAGCAGGUGAACCUCAAAAUUUAUAUAUAGCCAAGCUGACCGCACAAAGGCACCAGUUCAUGGAAUAUGUACCAAGACCUAAUCAAGCAAGCCAAUAGGAAACCUAACCUUGUUGGUAAACAACACACACAUCCAACAAAAUCAACAAAGAACCUGCACAUAGAAAGGAACAUGGAAGAAAAAAAUGUCUCAGCUCAGACACAUUUUAUCGAACAGGAUUCAGGAGACGAGAAGAAAAGAUCUUAGCUCCGAGUGCAAAUAACCAACUGAUGUGAUCGCAUACCCGAGCAGCAAGCCACCAAUGAAACAAACAAGCCUGUAAAUCCAUCAGAUUGCUGAAGAGGUAGGGCAGCAGGCAAGCUUCUGCUGUUGCUGGUUCCGACAACAAGCACAAUGAGAGGCAACUUACCAAAUACAAUUAACAGCAGCAAAACCUGAAAAGCCUGAAAAAUAACAUAUGCUUGGAUUAGGAAGGCACCAUAGCUGCCAGUUGGUUGUACCAAGCAUAAUGAAACAUCACCUUUCUAAAGUCAGGAAAAGGUAAACAAAAAAUAGAUUGGUAAUGAUAUAUAUGUGUAGUACAGCACAGUAUCAAGCAGCAUAAAGUUACUGUCACAAUUGCCAUUCUUUCAGAUAUGAUACUAACCUGGUAACUGAAAGCCAACCGCUGUCUAGUAAUGCAGUUAAAAAGUAACUUGAGGAUACUAACUCCAAAGUUCAUUGCCGGGUUUUACCUAUAAUAAACCAACAAUAUAAACAUGACUAUCCAGAAUAAAUUUAGAUAUUCAGAAAAUAAAUGGAGCAAAAGAAAGUGACUAACCUGAACCCAACAGAACCAUCGCAAGGCCUCCGGUUAGAGGAACGACCAGUCCAACACUUGCAGCUACAACACUAUAAUGGAUCAAAUCGAAGAGCAGCAAAGCGUAAAUCGAAAAGGGAAAAAGGAAAAGCAUAAGGGAUAGGCCAAACCAC
rnacentral:lncRNA from 1 species